rnacentral:rRNA from 1 species
AGAUUGAACGCUGGCGGCAUGCCUUACACAUGCAAGUCGAACGGUAGAGUAGCAAUACUCGAGAGUGGCGAACGGGUGAGUAAUAUAUCGGAACGUGCCCAGUCGUGGGGGAUAACGUAGAGAAAUUUACGCUAAUACCGCAUACGAUCUACGGAUGAAAGCGGGGGAUCGCAAGACCUCGCGCGAUUGGAGCGGCUGAUAUCAGAUUAGGUUGUUGGUGAGGUAAAAGCUCACCAAGCCGACGAUCUGUAGCUGGUUUGAGAGAACGACCAGCCACACUGGGACUGAGACACGGCCCAGACUCCUACGGGAGGCAGCAGUGGGGAAUUUUGGACAAUGGGCGAAAGCCUGAUCCAGCAAUGCCGCGUGCAGGAAGAAGGCCUUGGUUGUAACUGCUUUUGUACGAACGAAAAGUACUUUUCUAAUAGAAGAAGGCUUAUGACGUAACCGUAAGAAUAAGCACCGACUAACUACGUGACCAGCAGCCGCGGUAAU